rnacentral:tRNA from 2 species
GGGUUGUUAGCUCAGUUGGCAGAGUAGGCGACUCUUAAUCGCUCGGUCUGGGGUUCGAACCCCCAACAACCCACCA